AAAAUAUAUACACAUAAAUGUGCAUAUAUAUAUACAUAUAUAUGUAUGUAUAUAAUGGAUCGAAUAAUGAGGGGGGAAAACAUAAAAUGGGAUUAACCAAACACAUUAGUGUUUAAUUUGUACAUAUUUAUAAAUUUGAAUUUAUGUAUAUAUUUACUUACACAUAUAUACAUAAAAGAAUAAGAAUAACGAAAAAGAGGUAGAAACGACUAAGUCAAUCAAAUAGGCAAAAAUAUACAUGUAUGCAUAUACAAAUAUAUAACAUGUGUGUGUGUGUAUGUAUGUAUGUAUGUAUGUAUGUAUGUAUGUAUGCAUGUGCUUUCAUUUAUACAGUAGUCGUACGAACACAGAUUAAAGGCAAAACAAAUCAUACAUAUAGGGUAUAAAUAUAUAAUAAACUAUAAAAAAAAUAAGAAAGAGUACAUCAGUAGCUACUAAGGGGGAAAAGGUUUUAUAAUGUACAUACAUACAAGUACAUAUAUAUAUGUAUACGCACAUAUUUUAUAAAAAAAAAAAAAAAAAAAAAAAAAAAAAAAAAAAAAUAGCCCCUUUAAUUUGUGGCUGUUUUUACUCAGCAUAAUAAUAUUAAUUAUUUCAUCAACUUCGUUUACUCAAAUAUAAAUAGAAUAUAUCCAAAAUGAGCGGAAUAAAAGAUGAUAAUUACAAAAAUAAUCCUAAAUCUAAAUACCUGCAGUCUCUAGUAAUGGAAAUGUCGAGGUCGUACAUGAACAGACAAGAUAGAACUAGUGCAAUAAAUAUGUAUAUAGAAAAAUCUUCGUAUAAUCCUCAAUUUAUACCAGAUGAAGAAGAAGAAGAUGAUGAAGCUGAAAGUGAGACUUUACGAGAUAAAAUCAUAAGAAUAAUAACAAUAAUUUUUCCUAAUUAUUCACCUUGGUUUUGGUUUUUAUAUCAUUUUUUAAUUAAUUUAGUGGUAGUAUGUGUUAGCUUAAGUUUUUUAUCACAAGUAAAUAUAAUUAAUGGUGAGAGUGUAGGAAUACAUAAUAAGGAUCAUAUUUAUGGUAGUAUAUAUAGUUGUUAUUUAAUUUUAUUUGUUAAUAUAAUAACCUUUUCUGCUGUUAUGAUUUUACGUGCAAGUAUUCAUAAAUUUUUAUUAGAAAAGGUAUUACAGCCUAGUGCUUUGUGUGCAGCAUUUUAUAAUACGGUUGACCCUGAGUUGAUAUAUUUAAUUUGGUCGUCUGUUCAAAUUAUAUUUUGGUAUACUAACAUAACAUUAACAGUAGAAGCUGAUGAAAAAAAUAAUUAUUACACAUUAAAAGUUUUUCCUUAUAUAUUUAAAGAUAAUACAAAAUUUACAUUUUUAACUAAUUUGCAUAGAUACAUUACAUUCCCUAUUUUAUUAUAUAUAGUUUUUGCAGCUCGUUCAUUAAUUUUAUCAAUCAUAUCAUUUGUUUUUGAAUUGGGAUUUUUAAUGAAUGCACAUGACUUACUAAGUAGAUAUUUAAGAAAGUAUGGUAUUUUAAGAAAAUUUAACAUAGAAUGGUUUGCAUUUAUGACAGACAAACAUGAAAAUAUGCGCAUUAUGUUUGGUAAUGAAUUAUAUCAAGAUGAAAAAAUAAUAAGACAGUUAGCUACUAAUUAUACUGAUAAACAACUAAUACAAAAUAAAGCUGAUUUAUUAUUGUUUCAAAAUUUACCACGUAAUUGUAUGUGUUGUAAAAUACCCAUGAAUAAGAAUAAAAAAAAUACGAUGAAAUUAUUAUUACCUUCUGUUUUCGAAGAAAAAAAUAUAUUGAAAAGUGAAACUUCAUCAAUAAAAAAUUGGUUAGCUUGUCAUUACGUUGUUAAUACAGCACCUAAAUUGUUUUUAUUAAAUAAUAGUAUUUCUUUAACAAAUAAAGUGCUAGUAAAAAAUGGUAGUGAAAUUUUAUUUCGUCAAGUAAUAAUGUCUUUAAAAAUGUACUAUCAAGAGAAAAAUGACAACUAUGCAUUUACUGGUUCACCUAUGAAUAAUACUACACAUAGUGAUGAUUUCCAAAACAAAAAUAUAAUGAAUGCAAAUUUAAAUACUGGAUUUUCUGUUGGUACGAACAAACAUGGUACAUAUAAUGUAUGUCAAAAUGAAAGCAAAUGUAGUAAUAUAAGUAAUUAUCCAGUAAACAAAGAUGGACAUAUAGGUGAUAACUUCACUGGUAAUAAUAUUAAUAAGUUGAAUAGUAAUAGAGGUAAUGUCGAUAGGGUUAGUAGUAGUUACGAUAAAGGUACGGUAAAUAUAAGUAGUAAAAAAAAAAUGGGUAAUAACCCUAGUAAUGACGAUGUGGAGAUACCUAAAUCCAAUCUAGAUAAUAGAAAAAAGAAAAAAAUAAAUCUCGAAAAUAUUUUUAACGAUAUUGACCAUGAUUUAAUUCCUAAUAGACAAACAGUCCGUCAUAAUGGUAAUGGUAGUAGUAGUAGUAUUAGUGGUAGUAGUAUUAUUAGUAGUCUGAAAAUGAAUGGUGUCAGGAAUUUAAAAGAAGUAGUUGAUAUGACACAUAUGGUAAGAGAUACAAAACAGAAUGAUUUGAAUUUUGAAAAUAGAACAAGAAACAAAUCGAAAAUAAAUUUAAAAAAUAAAAAAAACAGGAGUCGUAACAAUGAAAAUAACAAUAGCAGUAGUCAAUACAGUAAUAGUAAUAGUAAUCGAAAAAAAGAACAAAUGGAAAAAGUGAGUCAAUUAGAUGAUAGCGUUCUUAUUUCAAGCGAUGUUGAUGGAAUUAAUAAAAACAAAAACAAAGAAGCUCGAAGACAUAAAAAAAAAAUGAACUUGUCGAAGCAGAAUAAUAACACGUCAUGUAAGGAAAUAAAUGGUAAUUUAAAAAAAACUGAAAGUGCUGAUUAUCUUCUUAAUAUUUCAAGUAAUAAUGUUAGUAAAGACAUAAUGACUAUAAAUGAUGAAAAGUUAAUUAGCACUAACAUUACACCAGAAAAUAAAAACAAAAAUAAAAGCAUUGGCUCUUUAGGUAAGUUACCAAAUAAAGCAGCGAAAGAAUUAAAAGGGAAUACGAAUAGAAUUUAUAUUAAUAAUAAUCAAAAUGGUAGUAACAAUCGGAGCAGUAGUACCAAACAAAAUAAUAUAGAAGCAAAUCAAAGUUUUAAUUCUCAAAGUAGUAACAUUAUUAAAAAUAUGAAAGAACAUCCUUUAAGCAAAAAUUUCGAAAAUAAAUAUACGGACGUCGCAAAUAUAAUAAAAGAAGAAGGUGAGGAUAAGUUUUUUAAUGAAAAUAUUGAACAUUAUAAAAGUAUUGUAAUUCCAGUUAAAGAUGUAACGAUAGAAGAUGUAAUAAAAAAGAAAAAUACAAGUGAGUCGUUCCAUAAAAGAGAGUUGAUUGUGGAUGAGGAUGAAAAUGGUUUUGUUAGUGGUGGUGGUGUUAAUUACAAUCGCAACAGAAGGUGUGUAACUAAAGAAUGUAAAGUACCCAACGAAGCCGAUUGCGAGAACCCAUCAAGUAGUGUCGUUUUAGAUAAAGAAUAUAUUAUUGGUAGUACAUUGUUUACAGAAAAAAAGUUAGAAGUAAAUGAAAAUCCGAUUAUAAAUAAUAAAUUUACUUUUAAAAAUGAUAUACCUAAAGAUAUUGAUGGUACUUAUAAGGAUAUUGGUAAGAGUAAAAAAAACAUGAUAAAUAGUAAUACUAUUAAUGACAUGGGAAAUAAGAUAGUUCCAAAAAAAGAAGUAAAAGAAUUUAGUUCUAAAAAUAAUUCGAUAAUAUAUAACUCGAAAUUUAUUAAUAAAGAAUUAAAUGUAUUAGAAAGAAGUGAUUAUGUUGGUAAUACUGUAAAAAGAUUAAAAGAAAAUAAAAAAAAUAAAUGUAAAAAUUAUUUUGGUUGUAAAGGUAACAAAAAAGAACGACAUAACAUAGUAAAAAAAGAUGUAUUACUUGAGUUAGAUGAUGAAUUUGUAAUGAAUAUGAAAAAUCCAGCUCAAUUAAAUUUAAGUGGUAAUGAGUUUCUAACAAGAGAAAUGUUAGAUGUGUUUUUAAAAUCUGAAGAAGCAGAAGAAUUUAUGAAAGAAUAUGAUUUAUCAGGUCAUGGUAAAAUUGAUAUUAUUAUGUUUAGAAAUGCAAUAAAAAGAACUAUUUCUGCUCGUAAAAAAUUUAUAAAAAGUUUAAAAGGAAAAGAGAGCAUUUUAAAAUUAGUUCGUCGUUUAAUGUCUAUUUUACUUUCUUUUUUUGCUGUAGUUGUUUUGUUAUUUAUGUUUGGUGUAACGCCGGAUACUAUUAUAGUUACAGGUGCUGCAUUUAUUACAGCAAUAACAGUUAUAUUAAGUUAUAUGUAUACAAAUUUUAUUACUUCUGUCAUUUUUAUUGCUUUUUCAAAUCCAUAUAACAUAGGAGAUCGGGUUCGAUUAGAUGGAGGAGAAGCAAUGUAUAUAAAAAAAAUAAAAACAUAUACUACUGAAUUUGAAACCACAACUGGUAAAAUUGUUAUAUAUGAAAAUUCCAAACUUAGUAAUGCUAAAAUAUUUAAUGAAAGUAGAUCUAAAAAUGCAUUUAUAGAUAUACAAUUUAAAGUUGAUAUUAACACUCCUUUAUUAGCGUUGAAAGAAUUAAGAAAAAGUUUACAAUUUUUAGUUGAUAGUAGACCUAGUGAUUUUUGUAAGACUAAAAAUUUAUAUUAUGGUUUAUCAUUACAACCUGGAUAUUUUUAUGAAAUAAGUUUUUGGAUAAAAUGUGUUGAAGGUUGGGGAAAUUGGAGAAAAGUAUUAGAACUUAGAACAGAUGUGUAUGAUUUUAUUAUAUUACAAUUAAGAUUGCUAAGUAUAUCUUAUAGACUACCUACUCAAAAAGUUGGUUUUACUGCUCCAUUAAAUAUAAUAGAUGGGAACCAUAAUCCUAAUUAUAAUUUUAAUCUUAACGCUACUUCGGCUGCUGCUGCUGCUGCUGCUGCUGCUGCUGCUACUACUUCUGUUUCCGCUUAUCCUAACAACGUCAAUAAUAUUGAUAACAUGAACUAUAAUAAUAGCACUAUUGAAAAAGUUGGUAGGAGUAAACUAAGUAAAUAUAUGUUACCACUUAAAGAUGCAGGUAGUAGAAACCCUAUGUUUGUUCAGCUAUCAAAACAUAAAAGAGAAUUUAGUUCUUUUCUUAAUGAAACCAAUAUUAAUCCAUCACUAAGUUGUACCAACAAAUUGAAUAUAAAUAGGGAUGAUUCUAUGUCCAAUGGAUUUAAUCAUUUGGAUAUAAAAAAUGGUAGUACUAAUAAAAACGUCGUAAGUAUAAAUCCUUUACCUGUGUGUAAUCAACAACCUUCAUAUUAUAACGGUAUAAUUGAACAUUCCGAUAAAUGGAAUCAUAAUAAUAUUACAGAUUUUGAAAAAUCUAACCGAGUAGGUAAAAGAUGUAAAGACGACGAUGGUAUGAAUAUUCAUGCGUCCGACGUAUUGGAACAACAAUUUGUUGAUGAUGGUAGUGCUAUGGUUUGUCACGCUGCGGCAGACAUGACUAGCCCUAUCAACAAUCAUAUAAUCGCUGAUUCGAAAAAAAUAAAUGUAUUUUCAGACAAUUUUAGUAUUAUUUCUAAUUCUGAAAAUAAUCAAUCUAAUCAAUUGUUUGACUGGGGAAAAAAUGUUUUGCAUACAAACCAUAUAAAUGAUUAUACUAGAAGUCUUUACGAUGGUAUUGUGAAUACAAAUAUAGAUGGUAUACAUGAUGAAUAUGAUGAUAUACAUGCUAAAAACAAUACAAAAUGUGAUAAUAUGUUGAAUUAUAACACUUAUAUAAAAUACAUGAACCAUGUUUCUAAAAACACUACACGGGCACAUGACUACGAAUAUAUUCAACAUACACCAUCCCGACGACAGCAACAUAUUAAAAGCAUAAACAAACAUGGUAAUGCUAAAGUUAUAACCAAUUAUAAUAAUUUUAAUAACGUUUGUUAUGGUAAUGAUAAAACAUAUUUAUAUAAUAGAGAGGAUGUACCAUACGCUUGGGAUAAUGUUGGUAAUGCUAGUAGAAACACUGGCAAUGAUAAUAACGAAGAUUGUAUGAGAUACGUCCACGAACAGAACAAGUAUAUUUCUUUUGACCGUUUUGACCGUUUUGACCGUUUUAACUGUUUUGACCGCUUUGAACGUUUUAAGCAGCCACCGAUUGUAAACUCAGAUGAAUAUUCAUGUGAUAGUUCGUCUGGUUAUGACAGUUACGAAUAUGUUAAACAUUUUUCAUACCUGCACAAAAAAAGUGA
ensembl:lncRNA